rnacentral:misc_RNA from 1 species
GAUGAAGAACGUAGCGAAAUGCGAUACGUAAUGUGAAUUGCAGAAUUCAGUGAAUCAUCGAGUCUUUGAACGCACAUUGCGCCCCCUGGUAUUCCGGGGGGCAUGCCUGUCCGAGCGUCAUUGCUGCCCUCAAGCACGGCUUGUGUGUUGGGCCUCCGUCCUCCUCCCGGGGGACGGGCCCGAAAGGCAGCGGCGGCACCGCGUCCGGUCCUCGAGCGUAUGGGGCUUCGUCACCCGCUCUUGUAGGCCCGGCCGGCGCUUGCCGACACAUCAAUCUUUUUUCCGGUUGACCUCGGAUCAGGUAGGGAUACCCGCUGAACUUAAGCAUAUCAAUAGCGGAGGA